GUUUAUUUCUUACAGUUUCUUCAUGGAGAACCAGUACCCAGAUGAAGCCAAGCGAGAGGAGAUUGUAACUCUGUCAUUCAAAAACCAGGUUGUAAGCUAUCUGAGUUUGAGCACGUGACGGCAUUGAAGGUGUACAACUGGUUCGCCAACCAUCGGAAGGAGAUGAAAAGAAGAGCUAAUAUCACGUACGAGCGUGAGAUGAAGACAUGGACCAUAGGAGAAAGACAGAGGAGGAAGCAUCUCAGACACUAACACUAACUCCAUCUGGAUAAAGCAUGCCUUUGUUUUCCAGGCACCACUUUGAUGAAAAAUUCAGAGCAAAUUUAAUGUUUAAUGUAACACCCCAACUCUAAGACAUAAAUAAACAGCAAUUUACAGCAGAAGAAUAUAGCGGAGGCCCAAACUGUAGUGUGUCUAAUAUUAUAGACCAAUAAUCCAACC